UACAGAGACUGCAAGCGUUAUUCAGAUUCACUGGGCGUAAAGGGUGCGCAGGCGGCCAAGUGUGUGAGGCGUGAAAGCCUGGGGCUUAACUCCAGAAUUGCACCUCAAACUACAUGGCUAGAGCAUUGGAGAGGGUAGCAGAAUUCACGGUGUAGCAGUGAAAUGCGUAGAUAUCGUGAGGAAUACCAGAGGCGAAGGCGGCUACCUGGACAAUUGCUGACGCUCAGGCACGAAAGCGUGGGGAGCAAAAGGG
rnacentral:rRNA from 1 species